UCUCUCUUAGGGAAAACCAGCACCAAAGUUCUAGAGUCUGGACGUCUGUGAUCAGGGUGCCAGCACUGUCCAGGUCACAGACUGCAGACCUUGUAUCUUCAAAUGGAGGAAAGAGGACAAGAGAGCACCUGUGGUCCCUUUUAUCAAGAUGAAUGCAUAAGGAAAAUGUUGUACAUUUGCACAGUGGAGUACACUUCAGCUAUAAAAAGAAUGAGAUGCUGUCAUUUGCAACAACAUUUGAAGCCUAGUCAAGAAGAGGACUCAGAGAAGCUUGACUAAAGUUUCAUGAAGACAGUCUCUGUCAGUGGUGGGCCCUUGAUUCUCAAGGACACUGUCAGAAGCUUCAUCUAACUUCUCUUCCACUCUACUUUCUUCUAGGGAAGAAGUGACCCAACAAUUUGAUCUAAUAUUUGCCUGAUAAUAUUGAACAUCCUUGCAUCUGUUAAAGUUUACUGUCCUAAGACUUA
rnacentral:lncRNA from 1 species